UGCAAGUCGAGCGGAUGGAAGGAAGCUUGCUUCCUAAAGUCAGCGGCGGACGGGUGAGUAACACGUGGGCAACCUGCCCCUAAGAUCGGGAUAACUUCGGGAAACCGGAGCUAAUACCGGAUAUGAUUAUGUCUCACAUGAGACAUAAUGGAAAGACGGUUUCGGCUGUCACUUAGGGAUGGGCCCGCGGCGCAUUAGCUAGUUGGUGAGGUAACGGCUCACCAAGGCGACGAUGCGUAGCCGACCUGAGAGGGUGAUCGGCCACACUGGGACUGAGACACGGCCCAGACUCCUACGGGAGGCAGCAGUAGGGAAUCUUCCGCAAUGGACGAAAGUCUGACGGAGCAACGCCGCGUGAGUGAAGAAGGUUUUCGGAUCGUAAAACUCUGUUGUUAGGGAAGAACAAGUACCAUAGUAACUGAUGGUACCUUGACGGUACCUAACCAGAAAGCCACGGCUAACUACGUGCCAGCAGCCGCGGUAAUACGUAGGUGGCAAGCGUUGUCCGGAUUUAUUGGGCGUAAAGCGCGCGCAGGCGGUCUUUUAAGUCUGAUGUGAAAGCCCACGGCUCAACCGUGGAGGGUCAUUGGAAACUGGGAGACUUGAGUGCAGAAGAGGAGAGUGGAAUUCCACGUGUAGCGGUGAAAUGCGUAGAGAUGUGGAGGAACACCAGUGGCGAAGGCGACUCUCUGGUCUGUAACUGACGCUGAGGCGCGAAAGCGUGGGGAGCGAACAGGAUUAGAUACCCUGGUAGUCCACGCCGUAAACGAUGAGUGCUAAGUGUUAGAGGGUUUCCGCCCUUUAGUGCUGCAGCUAAAGCAUUAAGCAUUCCGCCUGGGGAGUACGGCCG
rnacentral:rRNA from 1 species